AACGUUUUGAAUCCAUGCUGAGAUUUCAUCAGACACCAACCCAUUAAGGCUGAUCAGACUUCCAAGAUAAGUGAAGUU
rnacentral:pre_miRNA from 1 species